rnacentral:rRNA from 1 species
AUUGAACGCUGGCGGCAUGCCUUACACAUGCAAGUCGAACGGCAGCACGGACUUCGGUCUGGUGGCGAGUGGCGAACGGGUGAGUAAUGUAUCGGAACGUACCUUUCAGUGGGGGAUAACGUAGCGAAAGUUACGCUAAUACCGCAUAUUCUGUGAGCAGGAAAGCAGGGGAUCGAAAGACCUUGCGCUGAUUGAGCGGCCGAUAUCAGAUUAGCUAGUUGGUGGGGUAAAGGCCUACCAAGGCGACGAUCUGUAGCGGGUCUGAGAGGAUGAUCCGCCACACUGGAACUGAGACACGGACCAGACUCCUACGAGAGGCAGCAGUGGGGAAUUUUAGACAAUGGGGGCAACCAUGAUACAGCCAUGCCGAGUGAGUGAAGAAGGCGUUCGGGUUGUAAAGCUCUUUCGGCCGGGAAGAAAUCGCAUAGGCUAAUACCCUGUGUGGAUGACGGUACCGGAAUAAGAAGCACCGGCUAACUACGUG